rnacentral:misc_RNA from 1 species
UGGCGACCGCUGCUGCUGCG